rnacentral:rRNA from 1 species
AAAUUGAAGAGUUUGAUCAUGGCUCAGAUUGAACGCUGGCGGCAGGCCUAACACAUGCAAGUCGAGCGGUAGCACAGAGAGCUUGCUCUCGGGUGACGAGCGGCGGACGGGUGAGUAAUGUCUGGGAAACUGCCUGAUGGAGGGGGAUAACUACUGGAAACGGUAGCUAAUACCGCAUAACGUCGC